UUGAUUUGAUGUCAUGUUUUAUAUAUGUCUAAUCCUUAUAUUUUAUUUGACGUCAUGAAAUUAUCAUAUCUUUAAGACAUUUAUGUUUGACUGAAUUAAAUGAAAUUCUAUAUACCGUUCAGAUAUUCUGUUUUCUACAUUUAACGGUGACUUAUUAAUUGGAUAUAAUAUCUAUUAUAUUCCUUAAGCGUUAAUAUAUAUAUAUAUAUAUAUGUGAAGAUUUGAUCAUAAUGAGUAAAGUUGAUAGUAUGUUUCUCUCACAAUAAAUUUCUGUUAUUAUAUUUUAUAAAAGUCCACCAACUCCCUAAGUAUAUCCGGAACAAUAUUCGGUAAAAAAAAUUUCAAUAAAAUAAUUGAAAUUCUGUCAAAGACUCUUUAGGAAAUCGUAAAGAAGAUCGAAAAAGUAAGAGAUAAAUUUCCACAAGGUGAACAGCACCCAUGAAAUGAGACCGUAUUUUGACUUACCCGCACCACUGAAAUUCUAAGGAGUUCGGUCUCCUGGUCUCUAGUCUUCUUGAGCCAAAGAAAAGAAUAAAUAUGUAAGAUAGAGCUUUGUCGAAUGCCAAAGUUACAUGGAACACUUACUUCCAGUUUUUUUUCGUAAGAGUUGUCCAGAAAAGACAGAUUCUUGCUUAGGAAUUCGACUGCGAAAUCGAGCGGCGAAGAAUCCGCAGUAAAAGACAGCUUUAAUUCAGCCAAUUUGGAAGACUAAAAUAUUUAUCAAUGUCAAAAGGAACGUCAAUCAUUGUCAUCGAUGUACAAAAAAUGGAUUUUGCCGAUAGACUGACUUUAGACCACGAGAAAUUAUUAACAAAGAAUAAUUGUCUACCUUAAAGAUUUUACAAAUUUCUCGAGGAAAUACAACAAAGGAGACUUCUAGAUAAUCGUUGGACAAAUAAAAAAAUUGUCCAGAUCACGAAAAAGAAAGUUAUAUAAUGAAGAUUAUAUAUUAAAUUAUAAGAAAGUCAAUAAAACAAGAAUAUCGUUUGUUUUAGAGAAAUAUGUAGAGAAUUUAAAAAAUACUUAAAAUAAAAAAAAAAUGUUUUAUAAAA